AUCUAACUGACGAGUCCAAAAUAGGAUAAAACGCUUGUCAAACUGGAU
rnacentral:hammerhead_ribozyme from 1 species